rnacentral:rRNA from 1 species
GAUGAACGCUAGCGGCAGGCUUAAUACAUGCAAGUCGAGGGGCAGCAUGAUUGUAGCAAUACAAUUGAUGGCGACCGGCAAACGGGUGCGGAACACGUACACAACCUCCCAAUAAGUGGGGAAUAGCCCAGAGAAAUUUGGAUUAAUACCCCGUAACAUAACGAUGUGGCAUCACAUUGUUAUUAUAGAUUUUUCGCUUUUUGAUGGGUGUGAGACUGAUUAGAUAGUUGGCGGGGUAACGACCCACCAAGUCUACGAUCAGUAGCUGAUGUGAGAGCAUGAUCAGCCACACGGGCACUGAGACACGGGCCCGACUCCUACGGGAGGCAGCAGUAAGGAAUAUUGGACAAUGGACGCAAGUCUGAUCCAGCCAUGCCGCGUGAAGGAUUAAGGUCCUCUGGAUUGUAAACUUCUUUUAUAAGGGACGAAAAAAGGCUUUUCUAAGUCGUCUGACGGUACCUUAUGAAUAAGCACCGGCUAACUCCGUGCCAGCCGCCGCAGUAACAC